rnacentral:rRNA from 1 species
GACGACGCUGGCGGCGUGCUUAACACAUGCAAGUCGAACGGUGAAGGGAUCAGCUUGCUGGUUCUGGAUGAGUGGCGAACGGGUGAGUAACACGUGAGUAACCUCGCCCCCUUCUUCUGGAUAACCGCAUGAAAGUGUGGCUAAUACGGGAUAUUCUGGGUCUGUCGCAUGACGGGCCCGGGAAAGAUGCGCCUUUGGGUGUUUUUGGUGGGGGAUGGGCUCGCGGCCUAUCAGCUUGUUGGUGGGGUGAUGGCCUACCAAGGCGGUGACGGGUAGCCGGCCUGAGAGGGUGGACGGUCACACUGGGACUGAGACACGGCCCAGACUCCUACGGGAGGCAGCAGUGGGGAAUAUUGCACAAUGGGCGCAAGCCUGAUGCAGCGACGCCGCGUGAGGGAUGGAGGCCUUCGGGUUGUAAACCUCUUUCGCCAGUGAAGCAGGCCUGCUCCUUGUGGGUGGGUUGACGGUAGCUGGAUAAGAAGCGCCGGCUAACUAC